UUUCAGGGACUGGUUUGCAAUGAUCGGUCAAGUGAAACGGAACCGUUUAAGAAAAUCUCAAAUUUCCGAAUUAGCACUGUAACUUAAAACCCUCGAGCGCCAGUGUCAGUCGUGUCACCAAAAUGAGAGGAGGAGGAAGCUGAAGAAGAGGCUUUGAGUGUUUUCCUUGGAGAUACUGCCGAUGGAGAGAAGUUCGCUAAGAAGAUGGGACCUGAGAUUAUGAAUGAGUUAGCUGAAGGUUAUGAGAGUAUCUGCCAAAGGGCUUUGCCUUCUACUGCUCAUGAUGCCUUGGUUGAUGCUUAUGACACUAAUCUCAUCAUUGAGUGUGAGCCAGAAUAUUUGAUGCCUCACUUUGGAUCGAAUCCUGACAUUGAUGAAAAGCCACCAAUGCCUCUUCGUGAUUGCCUUGAGAAGGUGAAGCCGUUCAUAGUGGCUUGAGAAGGAAUCAAGGAUCAGGAAGAAUGGCAGGUAAAACUGUUCAAUUUUGUGACUCUUUUGUGUUCAUGCAAAAUAUUGUUCUUACUUCAUUUGACCUUCUUGAUUUUCUCGCUUUUUUUUUGCAGGAAGCAAUUGAUGAAGCGAUGAAGCAAGCACCCCUUAUGAAAGACAUUGUUGAUCACUACAGUGGUCCUGAUCGAGUAACUGCCAAGACACAGAACGAGGAGCUCGAUAGAAUUACUACAACACUUCCCCAAAGUGCACCAGAUUCUGUGAAACGAUUUGCAGAUCGUGUUGCUCUUAGUCUCAAGGUUUGAUUUCUGUAACCAACCCCUCAAGAUAGUUCAUCCUAACAUCACUCUCUUUCAUCAGAUAUAUCUUAAGAGGUAUUGACGUUUCUCUCUUAAUCAUGGGCAAUGCAGAGUAAUCCUGAAUGGCGAUAUGACAAGAAGUACCAGUUCAUGGACAAGCUCGUUUUAGAAGCUUCACAAAGCUACAAAUAGCAUUUCAAACCCUGUUUUAAAAAAGCUUCAUUGCCGCCUUGAGAUUAGAUCGAAUUCUUGAUCUUGCCCCUACCUAAAAUGGUACCACUUCUACAUAACAAAGACUCAAGAAUUGGAGGUUUAGCAUUGUUCUUCCAUACGUUUUCAGGGUUUCCGUAAUAACUGCACUAUUCUUUGUUACAUUGUAUCUCAAAGAGACUAUGCGUUGUCCUUGGAUCUGCUUCUUGACUCUUUUAGCAUUCCUGUGCCUAAUGCAUGCGCUAAAAACCGAACACUCUUGACAGAAAACGAGCAUUAGAAGUCUCAUUGUUUGAAAAACUAUGUAAGAAUAUGGUCACGUAUGAUCGAUAGCUUCAACUAAUAAUCUAAAAUGUCAAUCUCUCCAGUCUUAACACGAGACAAGCGUUGCUUGGUCCGACUUCUACUUCCACAUAUUGUUUUAUGGUUACUGGAUAUAAAUAUUUUGGAUGAUAUAGUCAACGUCCCAAAGAGAGUAAUUCAACUUUCUACAGUUGUGAGCUGGUCUCCUUUGAACCUGAAAGAGAUAACGGUUACAUUCACUAUCAGCAUUGAAAUUUCUUCUGCAAUUUCUUGUAUUGUUUAAAAAUAAAUAGACCAUGAAUGUUUCGUAAGCUUACAUAUAUAUACACAUAAAGUCAACGAAUAUUGAGUUACAUAUGUGUUUAUAUAAAAGGACAUUUAAUUAUGUUUGUAUCACUACUAUCCAACAAAAGACAAAAUUUUCAAGAAUCGUGCCGUGACUGAGUGUUUUUGCUUAGUUAUGUUAUGCUGUUUCCUCGGCUGCAAGAAGAAAAAGCCUUCGUCGUCGUCGUCUUCUCAGUCGCCGGGAGAUGUGAAAAAGGGUAAGACGGGAAAGAAGGAUGGAGGACUUCGUGUGAUGUCGUCAGGUACAAAGACUACCACAAGCAGGGCUUUUAGCCGCGGCAAAGGCUGUCUUUGUGGUGACGGUGGCGGUUGUGGAGGUUGCGGCGGUUGUGGUGGUUAAAGUGAUUCGUUGUUGUGUAUAUGUAAUGGUUUCUUGUUCAUGUAAUCGUAAUGUUUGUUUACGUACGCAAGGUUUUUGUGUUAGUGGAAAUGAAUGUAUAGAUCUGUAAAACAAAUCAUGUGAAUUUUGAAAUUUCAAAUGUUAAUUAACUCUCUUUUUCCUUAUUAGCCGAUUGUAAACGUUCACUAUAUCAACAUUUCAUCAAUAUUUAGAAAUAUAUUUGAUGAGAUAUAGUAAAAUUAUAUCUAAAACUGUAUUUAAAUUCUAUGAAACAUAUUUUAUAUGCACCAGAAAUAUAAUAAAAUUAAUAUAAAUAUUAAUUUCAUAAUAGUAAUAAAUGCAUAUAAACUAAAAAUUAAACAUUUUCUUAUUUUAGGUAAAACUAUAUUUAAAAAAAAAACUACUUAUAAAUUAAUAAUUCUAUAAAUUAAUAAAAUACCAUAGUCUCAACAUUAUUAUUUAUAGAGUUUUUACUGUACAUAUUAAAAAGCCUGGUAUAUUUUUUUUGCCAAAAAUGUUGAUUUCAUAUAAAUAUGCGGAAGAUAUGUACUUUACAAAAAUUGAAAUUAAGAUGGGGUGUACUUUGGUAAAAAAAAAUAAAAACAAAAUGAAAUCCAUAUGAAAAUAAGACUUUUUAUCCAUUUCUUAACUAUAACAACGCUGACGCAUAAGUGUUUUGAAACUCUUCUUGUUUUGUUGUUUCCCCAAGAUUGUGUCUCUGAUGUUACAGUCAGUGAGCUUGUAAGUAGUUGGAGGUGUUGACGAGAUCAUGUCAUGCAGCCAUUUAUUCUGUUCUGGCCAAAAGUUGUAGAUAGCGUUGAAAUGGAGAAGAAAAUAACCAAACGAAAGGAGUUAGUUCAAGAUUAAAGGAGAGUUCAUCAAGAGAAACCAAUGAUCCAAUAUUGAAGCUGAAUCAUGGACAAUCAAAUUUUGUAAAACAAAUCGUGGACACGUGAAUCAUGGACAAUGAAUCGUGGACAGCUGAAAUGUGGAUAGCUGAAUCCAAAGUUCCUUGGAUGUAAAGUUUUAAUUCUGGUCAUAAUUGGACAAAAAGAAGUCACAUGAGGAGCAUGAAGAAGCAACCAGACUUGUCACUGUCCAACCAUAAAAUGCACCGUACUCAUGUCACUUUCAACCUAAGAAGACUGAGCCUCUCUCUCCUAUCACUCUCACUCCCUCAGGUCGUGCCUACCUUGGCUCUAUCCUCUUUAUCCUUGUCAAAAACCCUUCAAUAUUAUUUGUUUAGUAAAAUCAUGUUUUAGUAUUAGUUUAAUAUGUGAGCUUGCCUAUAUAUAACAUUGUUGCAUCAUAUUGUAAACUUUAAUCUCACUAUAUAUAACUGUCUUGUUACUUCAUAUUCUCUCUAUUCUCUUGUUUUCCACGAGCCUAGACUCAUCUCUCAUACUCCCAAACUCUUUUAAUCUCACUUGAAACUCAUUAUUGUCUCAUAUACGCUCUUUCAGCCAUUCACUCAUAAUCUCUCCCAUUCUUUGUUCCAGUCACCUAAACACUUAACCAUCAUCAUUUUCACCAUUCUUCAUCAAUCUCACAUGGUAUCAAGCUGAAAAUCUCUUCAACCUCAUUAUGCUUCGGCAAAUACAAGCUACUCCCAGUUCAUCUUCAAACCAGUUUGGUACAACCUUUUGUCCAGCAGUCCAAAGGCUCUCCAAGAAGGAAGAACCUACGACCAGCUCUCAAGACAAGGUGUAUUCAAGUCUCUGAACCUCCAGAACCAUCCAGCAAGUUCAAAAAGUUCAGAGAGUCAUCCAUUCAACCAUUUCUCUUUGAAGAUACUUAAGCACAUUCUUUUACCUAGUUGUCCAUAGCUCUUCCAAGAUGAAAAACUCUAAAGCUAUGAUGAUUCCUGUGAUGCUCAAGGUUCCAAACUAAUUCUCUGGUCCAGGCUUGUGAAGACAGCCUUUGGAGGAAAAGACUUGUGGACUCAUUGUAUACAAGAAGCUCCAAAACAAGCCAGUUCUCAUGAUGCUCUGAAGCAAACUGGCUCCAAACCUGAAGUUGGAGACAAAUGGCAGCAAGAAGACCACAUAGUGUUGUUCAUCCUUCAAAGCUCACUGGAAGCAACCAUUUUGGAGGCUUACUCUUACUGUGAGAAUGCAAAGGAGCUGUGAGAUACUCUCCGUAAGAUGUAUGGGAACUCAUUAAACCUCAGCAGGGUGUAUGAAGUCAAGAAAGCCAUCAAUAACCUCUGCCAAGAAGAAAUGGAGUUCACUGAGCACUUUUGAAAGUUCAUGUCCUUAUGGGCUAAGCUUGACAUGCUUAGGCCAGCUAUCAUUGAUCCAAAAACUCUCAUUGAUAGAAGGGAGUAAAACAAGGUGUUGGGGCUGCUGCUUACUCAAUCCAACCUUCAAUGAUCUGAUGAAACAUAUUUUGAGGUCAGACAAGCUGCCCAGCCUUGAUGAAGUGUGCUCUCAGAUACAAAAAGAACAAGGGUCACACUGCCUCUUUGAACCUAAGAAAGGUCCCACACUAGCAAAUGAGGCUGAAAGUUUUUCUCUUGCCAACAAGGUCUAUUACAAGAAAGAGAACAUGAGGGGCUUGAAGUAUGACCAUUGCAAGAAGGAAGGUCACACCAAGGAGAGGUGUUGGAUACUCAAUCCCCACCUCAAGCCCAAACAUUUUCACUAAGCCUCAUGGGCUGGAGGCUCAAAGAACUGAGCUCAGGUUCCUUGAUAAGCUGUGCCUCUUAAAAAUAAGAGCAAAAUGCCCAUGUGUUCAGAGCCUACUGAAGUAUAUUUCUGACCAUGGAGAAAUUGCCCACUUCCCAACAACACUUUAAACACUGAUUGUGUUCAUUAACUCCCAAGAUAGUAGAGAGGAAGAUUGGAGCUGUGGAGAGAUUGCUCAAGAGCUCUUACCUGAAGCCACGAGGGUGAACAUGAGGUUCCUCAAGAGAGAAAGGCAACAAUUCAAGCCAAGAGGGCUGUGGUCUCAAGGUGUUGGCAAUCAUUGGCUCUCAACUUCAAGCUUGACCAUAUACCCAUAUACUCUCAGUUUCAGGUCAAGCUUGAGUAGGGGUAUUAAAUUUGAAGCCAGUUCUCCAUUAUUGAAGACAAAUUUUGAUCUUAGUCCAUGAAGAAGGCAACAAGCAAGAAGUAAGGGGGAGAAAAGCUGUGAAAUAAGAAGAAGGUUCAAGAGGAACAUGAUUGUGUGUGAAACAAGGAAGGAAGUGGCGUCCUUUCCUUGCCAAUAAAGAAGGAAAACCCUAGCUGGAUUGCUUGUACUCUUUUCUUAUAAUUAGGUUUUUAAUGAGGCAAGUAAUAUCGGUUCCAAGCUUACCCAAAGAUCUCCUAUGGUCAAGUUUAAGGGGGAGUGUUGAAAUUAAAAAGAAAAUAACCAGAAGAAAGGAGUUAAUUCAAGAUUAAAGGAGAGUUCAUCAAAAGAAGCCAAUGACCCAUUUUUGAAGUUGAAUCAUGGACAGUGAUUAUGAUUUAGUUUAUUAAUUACUAAGAUAAUUAUUUUCAUUAUUUUAGGGUUUUAUGGUGUUUUUAUAUAUUGUCUAGGCUUAAGUUUGUAUUCAGUUUAUGAUUUAAUUAAUAAAAGUUAUGUUAUAAAUCCAUUGUAUGGAUAUGUGGAUUGCCAUUAACCAUCACGGAGGUUUACAUCCGACCCGACUAUCCGGUCCGUCUACACCCGUCUCUGGUCCGUCUACAUUCGUCCAAGACUAGUCAAGAUGAAGACUCAUUCAACCAGAGCAUUUAUGAGCUUUGACCAAGUCUGUAUCUUUGUAAUGAAUGUAGUCAAUAUGUAUUAAAUGUGUAGAUUCUCUCCUUUGCUGUAAACCUUUGUAUGAACCUCCACUAUAUAUUGAUAGUGAGAGCUAAUGAGAAAGACACAACUUUCACAGCAACACUUCUCUCAUAUUUCUAACACGUUAUCAGCACGAUUGUGCUCUCCACCUGAGAAAGCUCUCUCCGCCGGCGUUCCCCUUUCCGGCCAGCUCCUCCGGUGCUCAGCCUUUGCUCCACCGGCGCUCAGCCUUCUCUCCACCAGGCCACCUCUCUCUCUCCGCCGGAAAACUCCUCUCUCUCUCAAAUUCCGGCCAACUCUCAGCCUCUCUCUCACGGUGGUCCUCUCAGAUUCUUGUGGUGAAAAAGGUAAACAAAUCAAAACCUUGAAAUCUAAAGAACACCAUUAUAUCUGAAAGAAAUCUAGGAUCUAUAUGAAUCCAUACUUUAUAAACAAUCUAUGGAUUUAAAAUAUUAAUCUUGUUUCUAUGAUCCAUAUGAUCCAUAUGAAACUUGAUUCUAAAAUUAUUUUGAAUCCAUAAAACUUAAAAUUCUCUAAAGGUUCUAUGUUUCUCUAAAAACUUAUAAACUUAUUAAAAUACCUAAAGAUCUAUAUGAAUCUUGUUUAUAAAAACUUAUGAAUCAUAAAAUUAUUAGAGAAAGCUUAAACCUUUUGAUUCAAUUCUUUUGUUUGGCCAUUUUACCAGAUGUGAUAAAUAUAAGUGUAUAAUCUGGCCAAAACAAAACUCCAUCAAAACCUUGAUGUGCCAUUUUCGGCCAGAUCCCCUAAAAAUCAGUCAACCCAUCAAUAAAAUUGAAAUUAAAUUCAUUCAUUGCAUAUUCUUGACUGUUAAUAUUUAUUUUGUAACUGUCAAAGUUUUAAAAACCUUUUAUGAUUUUUAUAAAUGCAUAAUCGAUUUUAUAAAUGCUUGUUUGAUUUUAUUAAAUGCAUAUCUUUGACUGAAAAUUAUUUCUAAAGUUUUAUAAGCCAUAGUCUUGUUUUAAAAUUGAUAUGUCAUAAGGUAGAAUAAAAUCUGUUUGAAAUCAUUUGAUCAUAUUGUUGUUAAUUAAACCAACCAUGAACCGAUUUUAUCUCAUACUGAAUUUUGAUCACAAAGUUUGCUAGUUAAAAUAAAACUUGAUCUAGUUUCAUCCUUGAACCUGAUUCUGUGAUUAAAUUAUGUACUGAUCAUUUGCAUACCUGAUAGCAUCAUUUAGUAAAUCAUUAGAUCGAACUUGAAUCAUCCAUGAACCGACCUUUGCAUGCAUCCAACUAUCAUAUUGUUAAAACUGGACAUAGGUAUCACAUAAUUGAAACCAAACAUACAUGUUCGCAUAGCUUUAGCAAUGAUGAUACUAGUGCGUCUGAAGUGGUUCAUGUUGUUUGCAUCUAAAUGAUUCACACUGUUUGCAUAUAGUUAGACAAAAUCGGUUUCCAUUUAAAAUUUAGUACAUUUGCUUUAUUCGAAAUUAUAAACCAAGUUUUAACCGAUUUUGAAAAUCUACUUUGGUUUACAAAUAUCUUGAACAUUAUAAAAUUUAUUUGUCUUGUCCAUGAUGCAUUUUAAAACAAGCAUUUAUAAAAAUCGAUUAUGCAUUUAUAAAAAUCAAUUCUAAAACAAGACUAUGGCUUAUAAAACUUUAGAAAUAAUUUUCAGUCAAAGAUAUGCAUUUAAUAAAAUCAAACAAGCAUUUAUAAAAAUCGAUUAUGCAUUUAUAAAAAUCAUAAAAGGUUUUUAAAACUUUGACAGUUACAAAACAAAUAUUAACAGUCAAGGAUAUGCAAUGAAUGAAUUUAAUUUCGAUUUUGUUGAUGGGUUGACUGAUUUUUAGGGGAUCUGGCCGAAAAUGGCACAGCAAGGACUUGAUGGAGUUUUGUUUUGGGCAGAUUAUACACUUAUGUUUAUCACAUCUGGUAAAAUGGCCAAACAAAAGGAUUGAAUCAAAAUGUUUAAGCUUUCUCUAAUAAUUUUAUGAUUCAUAAGUUUUUAUAAACAAGAUUCAUAUAGAUCUUUAGGUAUUUUAAUAAGUUUAUAAGUUUUUAGAGAAACAUAGAACCUUUAGAGAAUUUUAAGUUUUAUGGAUUCAAAAUAAUUUUAGAAUCAAGUUUCAUAUGGAUCAUAUGGAUCAUAGAAACAAGAUUAAUAUUUUAAAUCCUUAGAUUGUUUAUAAGUUAUGGAUUCAUAUAGAUCCUAGAUUUCUUUCAGAUAUAAUGGUGUUCUUUAGAUUUUAAGGUUUUGAUUUGUUUACCUUUUUCACCACAAGAAUCUGAGAGGACCACCGUGAGAGAGAGGCUGAGAGUUGGCCAUUGAGAGAGAGAGGAGUUUUCCGGCGGAGAGAGAGAGGUGGCCUGGUGGAGAGAAGGCUGAGCGCCGGUGAAGCAAAGGCUGAGCACCGGAGGAGCUGGCCGGAAAGGGGAACGCCGGCGGAGAGAGCUUUCUCAGGUGGAGAGCACAAUCGUGCUGAUAACGUGUUAUGAAAUCAUUGCCUCAGAGUGGUUUAACGUGUUAAGAUUUGAGAGAAGAUUUGUGAAGAAUGAUGUGUAUUUCUCAUUAGCUAUCACCACAUAUAUAUAGUGGUUUAUACAAGAGUUUACAAAGGAAGAAGAUCUACACAUUGAAUACACAUUGACCAUAUUGGUUACAAGAUAUUCUACAUAAAGACUUGGUCAAAGCUCAUAAUGGCAAAUGUUGAAUGGGUCUCCAUGUGGGCUAGUCUUGGAUGGAAUGUAGAUGGGUUGGAUGUAAACCUCUAUGGACUUCUACUUGUACUUGUUUGGACUUGUCUUAUACUUGGUUAUGUACUUGGUUAUGGGCCAUCCACUCAAUGGUUUUAUAACGCUCCUCCUUGGAUGCCAUAACCAUAUCGGGCUUGUAAUAUGAUAAUGUUGCCUCAUUAAAACCUCUCCCGGAAAACCCAAAACCCAAUGUGGUAAAAAGGGAAACCAGAGAAAGGAAAAAGAGUACAACACACAUUACUCCCCCUGAUUUGGACAUCACUGAAGGUCUUUGAGUCUACGCGUGCCAAUCUUGUUGCGUGAACUUCCUGAAUGUGCAAGAGGGCAAUGAUUUGGUGAAGAGGUCGGCUGGACAAGCUGGUAAUCUCAGGGGGAGAAAAUAACAAGUUGGGCAAAGAAAUUGUAUGGAAUCAAACAUCCUUAUCAUGGCAAGAUCCUCGGAGUCAAUCAUGUGAUUUAGAAGUCUAGAAAAUAAUUCAUAUGCAAAAGCUAGUUAAUCAAUUGCCUGAUUCCUUUGCUGACCCGAAAAGAGUAACUAAGUCCUAUAUACCAGCUUGUAAUGCACCAAUAAGUAUUGAUGUCCAUGAUGGACACAAUCAAGUGGCUACAGAGUCUAAAACACGACUUAAGCGUGGUAGACCAAUUGGUUCCAAAGAUAAAAGACCUCGGAAACUAAAGAAAGGUGCAAAAGAAACCGAGGUCAUAGAUUGUCCAGACAAGGCCGAAAUGGCCAUGCCUAAGGUACCAACCAAUGGGACUCGGGACGCCGAGCCUCAUGGUACUAAAGGAAUUGAUAAUGAUGAGAUUUCAAUUAAUUAUUUAAUGUCUGGGACAAGAUGGAACCGGAAAGAUGUCGACAUCAAUGAUAUAUUUUCAUACCAAGUAGCCCUUGAUAUGAUGGACUUAGAUGAGGAUCAUGAACCCACGUCUAUACUAGAGUGCACUCAAAGAUCAGAUUGGCUCAAAUAGAAAGAAGCCAUAAACGUGGAGUUAGAAUCAUUUAAGAAAAGGAAUGUCUUUGGAUCGAUUAUCCAGACACCUUAUAAUGUUAAACCAGUGGGAUAUAAGUGGGUAUUUGUGAGGAAGAGAAAUGAACAUGGUGAAAUUGUAAGAUACAAAUCACGGUUUGUAGCACAAGGAUUCUCACAAAUACAAGGCAUUGAUUAUGAGGAGACAUACUCCCCUGUGGUGGAUGCAACUACAUUUCGAUUUUUAAUAAGUCUGGCCAUCAAAGAAAAUUUGGAUAUGCGGUUAAUGGAUGUUGUAACCGCAUACCUUUAUGGUCCACUGGAUAACGAAAUAUAUAUGAGAUUACCAGAGGGUAUUGAGCUUAAAGCUAAUAAAGGUUCUCGAGAAGAACACUGCAUAAGGCUGAACAAAUCCUUAUAUGGACUUAAGCAAAGUGGUCGAAUGUGGUAUAACCGCUUAAGCGAAUACCUUGCCAAAGUUGGCUAUAAGAACGACCCUAUCAGUCCAUGUAUCUUUAUAAAGAAGUUUGAAAACAAAGGAUUUGUUAUCAUAGCAGUGUAUGUUGAUGAUUUGAACAUUAUUGGAACCCUUGGGGAAAUCGCCCAAACAGUUGAAUAUCUCAAGAAAGAGUUUGAAAUGAAAGACCUAGGUAAAACUAAAGUCUGUUUGGGAUUACAACUUGAGUACAUAAAAGGAGGAAUCCUUGUGCAUCAAAAGGCAUAUACAGAAAAGGUACUCAAGAGAUUUAACAUGGACCAGGCUCACCCAUUGACCAGCCCAAUGGUCGUGAGGUCCCUUGGAGUGGACACUGACCCAUUCCGUCCAAAGGAGGAUGAUGAGAAUGUCCUGGGUCCUGAAGUGCCUUACCUCAGUGCCAUAGGAGCGUUACUAUAUUUGGCUAGCCACACUAGACCAGAUAUAUGUUUUGCCGUGAACCUCCUAGCCCAUUUUAGUUCAUGUCCGACCCAAAGGUACUGGAAUGGAAUUAAACAUAUCCUACGUUACCUUCAAGGAACUAAGGAUUUGGGUCUAUUUUAUACCAAUGAAACCAAAGAUGGUUUAGUAGGCUUUGCUGAUGCAGGCUACUUAUCUGAUCCACACCAUGCUCGGUCCCAAACCGGAUAUGUGUUUACUUAUGGUGGUACUGCAAUAUCAUGGUGUUCCAUGAAACAAACUAUAGCAGCCACAUCAUCUAAUCACUCAGAAAUCUUAGCCAUGCAUGAGGCAAGUCGUGAGUGUGUAUGGUUGAGGUAUAUGACUCAACACAUCCGAUCAGAUAGUGGAAUGGUCGAGGACAAUGGUCCGACCAUCAUAUAUGAGGAUAAUGCAGCCUGCAUUGCUCAACUCAAAGAUGGGUAUAUCAAAGGUGACCGAACCAAACAUGUACUACCCAAGUUCUUCUUCACACAUGAGUUGCAGAAAGCCAAGGAGGUCAGCAUCACUCAAAUCCGGUCAAGUGAGAACUCAGCCUACCUCUUCACCAAGUCACUUCCCACCAGCACAUUCAGGAAGCUCACGCAGCAGAUUGGCAUGCGAAGACUCAAGGACCUUCAGUGAUGUCCAAAUCAGGGGGAGUAAUGUGUGUUGUACUCUUUUUCCUUUCCUUGGUUUCCCUUUUUACCACAUUGGGUUUUGGGUAUUCCGGGAGAGGUUUUAAUGAGGCAACGUUAGAACAUUACAAGCCCGAUAUGGUUAUGGCAUCUAAGGGGGAGUGUUAUAAAUCUAUUGUAUGGAUAUGUGGAUUGCCAUUAACUAUCAAGGAGGUUUACAUCCGACCCGACUAUCCGGUCCGUCUACACCCGUCUCCGGUCCGUCUACAUUCGUCCAAGACUAGUCAAGAUGAAGACUCAUUCAACCGGAGCAUUUAUGAGCUUUGACCAAGUCUGUAUCUUUGUAAUGAAUGUAGUCAAUAUGUGUUAAAUGUGUAGAUUCUCUCAUUUGCUGUAAAUCUUUGUAUGAACCUCCACUAUAUAUUGAUAGUGAGAGCUAAUGAGAAAGACACAACUUUCACAGCAACACUUCUCUCAUAUUUCUAACAAGUUAAGAGAUUUCUCUUUAUUCCUUGAUUUCGGCAUAGAACAUAGGUGUUCUCAACGAUUUUAAGAAGACAUUGAUCUUAGGUAUUCUUACACUAAAUAAAAUAUUUGUAAUAUUCUAGUUUCCAGGUAUUCUCAGAAUCAACGGAUCUCUAGUUUUAUCCCUAGAAAUUUCUCAGGUGAUAUCAGAGCCAUAUUUUUGGGUUUCUUAAUCAAAACUCGUUCCUGGAAUCAUGGCUAAUUUAUUCUUUCAAAUUGAAGAAACUGUUUACGUAGAGAUUACUGGUGAUCCGGUUUACGAUACUUAUGAUGAUGACUAUGCACACGUCACCAAAUAUAAAGUACCGUAAGCAGUGGCGGAUUUAGAAAAUAAAUUAACAUGGGGCACUAUAUAUAUUAUAUUUUACAAAAUAUUUAAUUUAAUUUAAUUAAUAAAUUAUAUAAUAAUAAUUGUUUUUGUGUAAUGAUUUGUUAUAUAAUAAAUUUAAAAUAAAUGACAUUAACCAUUAAUUAUUGCGUCUUAUUUAAUGCAUUAUUUAAAUUAAAUAUUAUUAACAUAAAAUAAGCAUUUUAUAAUAUUAAGUAUUUAUUUUGAGUAAUGUUAAAAGAAAAUUAUAUAUUACACAUAUAGUUUCAUUACAAACGCUUAUUAAAUAUAGCUGUUAGUUUAAUCUAAGUAUUAUAAUUAAUAAAUACUAAAUAAAUAAAACAAAAUAAAGCGCACAAUGUUUUUCUUAGAAAAAAUAUAUACUAAAAGAAAAGGAAAACACUCAUAAAAAAAUUUGCAACACAAUUAAAAAAGAAUAUAUAUUUAUGAAAAGUGAUUAAAAUAAAAAAAAUGUAUAGAAUAAAAUUGUUGUGUUAGUAUUAGUUUUGUCUCUGGUCUUGCCCUCGAAAUUUGAAUUAAACUAAAAUACUACGUUAUUUAUCAAUUAUUUAUCUUUAGCCUAAUUUCCAAAAGAAAACAGAAAAUAAUAUGCCAGGGGUCGAAUACGUGAAGCGUGGAGCACUGCUGUGAGUCUCAUAACCAAAAGAGCUGAUAACAUCAAUUAGUUCAGUAAGUGCAAAAGUGAUAUAUUGUUUAGUGUGUGGCACGUGCCACACCCCACUCUACCGUGGAUCCGCCCCUGGUCCGCAAGACGUCGUCGUGCAUGAAGGCGUCCAUAACUCCAACUCAACCAAUUCCAUACAAGAUAGUGCGGUUGUGAUAAGUAUGAAAAAUUAUGCUCUAAUUCAAGCAAAUCACGUGGUGGUGGAUGGCAUCAAAUCAAAGAGUCAAGUGGUUACGUGUCUUGUUGGUGACUGGUUUGUGGAGACAAAACGUUCAACAACGAAGAUUGGAUACAUUGACAAAAAUAAUUUGUUCUAUAUAUGCCUUUUGUUUGUUUAUGUGAAGAUCAAGGAUGCUAAGUUUCAUCAAUGGAAGAGAAAAAAAAAAUAAUUGACGACCACAGUACCAAUCUGGAGAGAAUGAUGUAGUUAAAUAUUUGGAAUAUUUCCAAAUAUUUAUUAUUUAGUUUAUUAAUUAUUUAGAUAAUUAUUUUUUAUUAUUUUAGGAUUUUAUGGUGUUUUAAUAUAUAGCUGUCUAGUCUUAAGUUUGUAUUCAGUUUAUGAUUUGAUUAAUAAAAGUUAAGAGAUUUCUCUUUAUUCCUUGAUUUCUGCUAGAACAUAGGUGUUCUCAACGAAUUUAAGAAAACAUUGAUUUUAGGCAUUCUUAGACUAAAUAAGAUAUUUGUAAUAAUCUAGUAUUCCAGGUAUUCUCAAAAUCAACGGAUCUCUAGUUCUAUCCCAAUAAGCUUCCACUACAUCAAACAUCCAAAUCUUGAACAACAAUUUGUGGACACUUAAAUCAUGGACAACUGAACUGUGGAAAACUGAAUUCAAUAUCCCCCAACAUGUUGAAGCUUCAAAUAAACUAAUUUUGGAUGAAAAGGCUUAAUUCUGAUCAAAAUUGGACAAGAAGAAGUCACAUGGGAGUUUGGAGAAGCAACCAAACUUGUCACUAUUCAACCUUGAAGAAUGCACCUUACUCAUGUUACUUUCAACUUAAGAAGACUGAGCUUCUCUCUCCUGUCACUCUCACUCCCUCUCGUCAUGUCUAUCUUGGCUCUAUCCUCUUUGUCCUCAUCAGAAACCUUACAAUAUUAUUUGUUUAGUAAAACUUUGUUUUAGUAUCAGUUUAAUAUGUGAACUUGCCUCUAUAUGGCAUUGUUCUAUCUGAUUGUAAACUUUAAGUUGAAUGAAUAAUUCUUCUUCAUUACUCUCUUGUUACUUCAUAUUCUCUUUAUUUUCUUGUUUCCCACAAGCCUAGACUCCACUCUCAUACUCCCAAACUCUCCUAAUCUCACUUGAAACUUGUUACUGUCUCAGAUACACUUUCUCAACCACUCACUCAUAAUCUCUCCCAUUUUCUGUUCCAGUCACCUAAACACUUAACCAUCAUCAUUCUCAUAUCAUUCUUCAUCAAUCUCACAGAUAGUUGCAUGAGCAACAAGUCUUUUGAGAAUCAAUGGGGUAGUGGAGUCUUUGAGAGAUAACCAUUCAAUAAAAGAUGUCCAAGUAAUGAAGCAUGAGUGUGUAUACAACCUUCGAAGAAUCAUGUCCCAUAUCUGUUCACUGAUUUUGCAGCGUAGAAACACAUGAUCCCUUGUUUCUGGAACUGAAUCGCAUAUACAACAGUUUAAUGAAAUCCCAAGGCCCCAGUUCGCAAGCCUUACCGAGUCGGCAUUCUAUAAUUCUGCGCAAGCCAGGUAUACUUUCAGUCUUUCCCAAACACACUUUCAAUACUAUCUGAUCAGAUAAUUCGAGAUUUAGAGUCCACUUCACUGUUGAUCAGGUAUAUAGUUUAGAAUCUUUCCAACAUUUCCAGCAUAUACUGAUGUGUAUAGACUGGACAAGUCACGCGCUUUCUAAUUUUCGUAAUAACAUUCGAAUAUUUAUUCAAAGAGAGAAUGUCUACUAAUUCUCAAGUCUCGUUGUUGCACACAUGACAUGUCUAAUAAAAUAUUUAAUCCAGAAAUCUCUAGUGCUUGAUUGUUUCUAUAGAUUUUCAGUUUCCAUUUAUGAAAUCUAUGACUUGGGAUCUCAUUUGAGGACUGAACAUAUAUAUUUAUGUGUUUGGUUUUUUUUUUUUGGCAUCACAUGUUUGGUUUUCUUGAAACGGUAUCAAACAAGAAAAUUUCCAUUUUCCUGCUAGUAGAUUGAUAUUACCACUGCUCAGACAAUUAUUGUUUGUCACAUUCUCAUAUAAAGAAGUUUUUUUUAUGACCGGUAACUCGUCUUCCUUUAUGACUGUCAAUGGAGGUUUCAUAUUAAUGAGUAACACAAUUAGCUUAAAAUAUUUCGGAUAAUAUAGUCAAAGAGAGUUAAUCAUUUUUUUCUUUACAUUUUUCUUAAACGUAUAUGGAAAAUUAUUCUGCAAUUUCGUGUAUUAUCUUAAAGAAAUAUAUAGGUUAAGAGCACAUCGUAAGCUUUUUACAUACGAAAUGUCAACGGAUAUUUAGAGAUAUCUAUAUCUAAAAGGAUCAUAUUUCUAUCGUCAUAUAUUCGUUAAAUAUAUCCAAAAGAAGGACAAAAGCUUAACAUCUGACCUCGUUUUGGCUUUACGAUGUCCAUGUUUCGUAGGUUAUUCUGUUUCUUCAGCCGAAAGAAGAAAAAGACUCCGUCCUCGAAUCUUUCUCCGCCUCGUGUUAAGAAGGCUAAACCGAGAAAGAAAGAUGGAGGGUUUAGUGUGGUGACUUCAGGGUUGGAGAUGUCUAAGACCAAAGGCUGUUGUUGUCGUGGAGGCAGCGGUUGUGGAGGAGGUUGCGGCGGUUGUGGUGGUUAAAGUUCUCCGUCGAAAUUACCCUUUAUGGUUUCUUGUUCGCGUGGUCGUAUGAGUUUUAUACAUACAAUCCAAUGUUCUUAUUUUGUGUGAUCAUCUAGAAAGUGUAUAUAGAUGAUCACUUGUAUAUUGUAAUGAAUCCUAAAAGGUGAAAGUUACUAUUGGUAAUUCUGAAAUUUGUUGGGUUACAAUUGGUUUAAUUUUAUCUAUAUAGACGCUUGGUGACAAGAUUUCACUACACCAGCAUUUUAUUAAGAAUUUGUGACUAACAUGAAAUUUCAAACAUAAAUACAAAUUAUUUUCAUUCAAUUUUUGUUAGAAGUUCAAAGGAUAUAUGAGUACUAAACAUUCUACUGAAAUUUCCCCAAAACACUAAUUUUAAAUACUAUUUAAAGAAAAUAUGUCUGUCAAAUGUUCGUCGUAUUUCCCUUUCAAAUACUAAUGGUAGGGAUGGACGUUCGGGUACCCAUUCGGGUUCGGUUUGGAUUUAAUCUGGUUUCGGGUUUUCGGAUUUAAAGAUUUCAGCCCAAUUCGGGUAUUACUAAAUUUCGGUUCGGGUCCGGUUCGGAUCUUUGCGGGUUCGGUUCGGAUUCGGAUAACCCAUUUAAAUUAUUUUUAAAAUUUUAAUAUUCAUUAUAUGCUUAAAAAUUCUCAAAAUCUAUAAAACAAAAUAAUAUAUUACAUAUAAAUUUGUAUAAUAUAUGUCAAAAUACCUAAAAUUAACAUAUAAAUUGGUUUGAUUGGAAUAUUUGGAUUGAAAAUCAAUAAAUAUUUCAAGCAUUGUUGUCGUUUGAAGAUAUUUUAGCUAUUUUAGUCAUUUAUUUUUGACUAUAUAUGUAUAUUUUCAAGUAUUUUAGACAACUUAAAGUAUAUUAUAUAUUUUGGAUGUUUUUAAAUCUAUUUCGGUUACAUUCGGGUACCCGAGAUAUUUCGGGUCGGGUUCGGUUUUGGUUCUUUAGAUAUCAAAAUUUUGAACCCCUUCGGAUAUUUAAUCAAUUUCGAUUCGGAUUUGUUACUACUUUUUCGGACCGAAUUCGGUUCGGUUCUUCGGAUCCGGGUUUUUUGCCCAGUCCUAACUAGUCGACUCGGUGGUUUAGGCCGUUUCUCGCUGGAACAUCAGAUAAUUUGAGUCAUAUUCUCUGUCGAUCCGUUUUUUUUUUGUGGUAGUAUAUAUUUUCAAUUUUGAAAGUACCACUGUAAAAUUAGGAACAUAUACAAUAUGUGUCGAAAUUAAUGUCCUAUGUUUUACCGUGUUUUUGCAGAUCAUAAACUUUGCAACGGUUAACAUGAUUAUGUAGUCAAAAUAUUUGGAUUUUGUAUUGUCCAAAAAUGCAUUUCUAUAUAGUGUAUGGUUUAGAAUGUUUCCAACAUGUUCCCGCAUGAAAACCUUACGUUUUUUAUAUAAAAAAACAUGGCCCACAUGCAGGACUCAUAGGGUAAGUGAUGCGCUUUCUAUUUCGUAUUUCUUGUAAAUUCACAGGAAAAGUUUGAUUGGUCUUUAAAAAAAGCUUGCUUGGUAGACCAUGCAAGUUCAAUCAUCUCAUUCACUAAAAUAUAAAUUUAAAAAGAGAAUGUGUAUUUUUUUUUUGACAUCAAAAGAGAAUGUGUAAUAUAUAUGAUAUAUCAUAUAUCAAGUGUAGUUGUUAGCACGCAUGACUAAGUCUAUCAUGUAUUGUUUCUAUGGAAUUUCAACUAUUCAAUCAUAGACCUUAUAUCUCAUUUUAGAUUUGACCAUUUAAUAUUUCCUUGAAAACUAAUAAACAAGAAAAGUUUAUCUACUUGCUAGUUGAUUGAAAUUUCCACUUCAAUUAUGUGUUAUUGGUUUAUAUAUUUUGAUUGAUUCAAAAAUUGAUAUAGUAUUUAUAAAUCCAAGUAAAAUAUGCAUAUUUUUAUAUUUUCGGAUUAGUAUUUACAAAUUCAGAGAUUUUCCCUCGGAUUUGAAUCUUUGUAUUUUUAACAAAAAAAUCCAAAAAAAUUCAGUUAAAUCCAUUAUAAAAUCAAAUUUAUAAGUAAAUUCGUACGAUUGAAUAACACUUGAUUUGAUAUAGAAUUUAUGAAUCAUUAGACCAAUAACAAUUAAUUUUAAUACAGAUUUAAAAAUUAUAGAACUAAACACUAAAUUUAGUUAAGAUUUUCACAUUAAAAUACAACAACCAAUAUUUAGUUAUCAGCUUAUAUACUAAGUCAAAGGAGCUGUCUAUAUAGGAAAGGGCAAAUGAUUAUUUUGUUUUAUGUCAAGGCAAUUGAUCAAAUGUAUAUCACCAGAAAACUAUAAAACAAAGCCUUACAAAUAUUGUUUAUAGACAUUUGUUACUACAGUCGCGAUGUGUCUUCUCUUGUGCUAUUACGCGCGUCGUCGCUUGCAUAGGAAGGCGAAGUCAUCACUGCCUGGAAAUGACGUCAAAAAGGGUGAAACGACGUCAGACACGAAAGAUGGAGGUCUUGUUGUCAUGUCGUCGGGAAAGAAUGAUAAGACCACCGGAUGCUGUGUGUUCGGCGCAGAAGGAGGUGAUUGCGGUGGUUGUGAAGGCGGUUGUGGAGGUGGCUGUGGAGGUGGUUGUGGAGGCGGGUGCGGAGGUGGCGGCGGUUAAAAUUUAAUAUUAGGGUUAUGUAUGGUUAUUAAUGUAACUUUGUGAUUUCUGUGCGUGUGAUUUUAUUAUUUGUACAUGCAAGAUAUGAAGUGUGAUGUAUAUAAUUUCUUGUGAGAAUGAAAGUUGAAUCAUGAAUAUGUAUAUUGCAAAAUGAGUCAUAUAUAUAGGUUUUUGAGUGGAUAAUUAUAAAGUUUUGGAAAACAUUAAAUGAAAUUAUAUUCUAUACAAUUAUUUGCGAAGUGAUUUUUUACACGUUAAAAGUUAGAUCGGUUAAUGUCAAUGUUAUCCCUAAUGAAUAAUUAUAUUUAUUUGUAAUAAUUUAUUUCUUUUAAUAAAUAAAUAGAUAUCUAUAAUUAAUUUAUAAAUCGUGAUAUUGACUAAAUAUAUAUCAAUCUAAACUCUUAAUUAUUUUUGUGAUUAUUUUUUAAAGCUGAUAAGUUGCCAUCAAUUUAACUGAAUAUUAUCUUUGAUUCAAAAAGAUGAAAUUUACGAAGUAAUUUUCACAUUAAAAUUUUAACCUUAAAAGUUAGACCGGUAAAUAUCAAUGUUACCACUAAUGAAUAACUAUAUUUAUUUAUCAUAUUUUUUAUUUUAAUAAAAAAUUAGAUAUUUAUAACUAAUUUAUAAAUCGUGAUAUUGACUAAAUAUAUUUCAAAUUAGACUCUUAAUCAUUUAUGUGAUUACUUUCAAAAGCUGAUAAGUUGCCAUCAAUUUAACUGAAUAUUAUCUUCCAUUAAAAAAGUGAAAUUUAUGAAACUAUAUAUAUACUAAACCCUAUUAAUGUUUGUCGUGUAUGCUCAUAUGUUUAGGUUUUAGUUUAGUUUAUACCUUUAUAUAUUAGUCGAAGUUAUAUUGCUUCUCGUAUGUGAUUUUGUUGUAUAACGGUGAUCAUUAACCAGGGGUGUUCUCACCCUUGUUGGAAAAAGGCGGCAGCUUUAGGCCCCAUUUUUCAAUUACAAUUUAGGGCCCCAUUUUUACUAAAUAUGCAUUCACUUAUGUUUUAAUGGAAUGCACAAUAAACAAGUUAUAUGAAAUAUUGUUUGAAGUAACUAUGUUUCUGUAUAUAUUCCAUAUAAAUAUAUGUUUCUUUUUAAUUUUAUAAAGAAAAUGUUUUUUAGAUUUCAUUAUUCAAUUUUGUUGUAUGCACUCUUAUGAUUUUCUACAUUUUGUUCUUAACUCAUUAAUUUAUAAUUUACUCAAUAGGAUUAAAAAAAAAAUCAUGUUUUUCUUGCCUUAGGCCCCUCAAAUUGUAGGCACGGCAGUGUCAUUAACACAAUCAUUACAUAUCAGAAGUAGCUGUUUCAUCUCCAAAUCGUUUGUUUUGUUGUUUCCUUUUAUGUUUUUCUAUUUUUUUUAAAAUAGAUGGACUACCAAUAAAUCGAGAAAUAAAACAAGAAAGGUACAUGUUUUUUUUUCUAAAGAGAAAGGUACAUGUUAUCAUGUAAAAUUUGUGUUUUUGUCUUUUUGACAAAGAUGAUAAAUUUGGUUUCCGACGAGAUGUAAUCGAAUAACUUUUAAGACGAAUUAUCUACUUUACACUAAGUUUGAUUCUUAAUGGUGAUGAAUGAUAUCAACAAUAACAUAUAAAAAAAUUGUUCUUGUAAAUAAAAUUUCACAUUUAUAUCACGAACAAUGAGAAAAGGUUUUUCGUUUAUGGUUUUUGGUAGGGCAAAAAUAAAAUUUUAAUAUUGGAGAGUUUGGAAUCUGCUCUUCAAUGAAAACGUAAAAUUCUUUUUUUUUUUUAUUUUUCAUGGCAUUAUUUUAUUUAUAUUGAUAUAUCCAUGCUAAUAAAAAUUUAAAGUGAUUCUAACAGACUUGUAAGAUUUUGGACCAUAUAUAUAUAUAUAUAUAACUAAGAAUAUUUAUCAUGUAAGCGCACGUUUGAAAAAAAAAUAUUGUAUGCACACAUAAAAAUUAUACAAAACAAUACAUAUUCAAAAGCAUAAACCAUGUAUAUACAUAAUGAUCAACUAUUGCAAUUGUUACAGAACGAAAUCUAGUAAAUAAAAUUGUAUUAACGUAUGUGCUAUAAAUGAUCAUGCAUAGAAUUCAUUCACUUUCAUUUAUGGAGACAACGUAACAACGUACUACACAACAACGUUCAUCUCUCUCCUCUACAAGUGUUUAAGCUCAUGGACAGAGACAUCAGGAAUGCCAUCACUGCAAGACAGCACAAGAGGAACUUAAUUUCGAGGACUCAUGUGCCUUUGGAUUAGAUGAUUUCUUCUUCUGAUUCUAUAACUACUGACUUUCUUGUUUUUUAUCUAAUUUUUGCCAAGAAAUAAGUGUGUAAAAGUCUUAGCUUGUUUAGGACAAACUUUUCAUUUAGUUAAAUGAUAUUUACAGUUUAGCAAAAAAAAAAAAAGAAUUCAUUCACACGUUCUCCUUCUCGCAGCCGAACCCUAAAGAGAGGAACUCUUGCGUUAAUCGAUCUGCUGCUCCGGUGGUCGGUGAUUCUCACCGCCACCGGGAGCGGUCCCGUGUCGUCUCUGUUUAUAUGUCUUCGGUCUUUGUCUCUGCGUUUUGACAUCCGGUGGUUCGUGGCUUCAGAUCUAGGUUUGGAGGAGAUUCGAUGGUCUGGUAUCGGAUCUGUGGCUCUAUAGCUUGGGUUGGAGCUUCUCUGGACGUUGGGCUUGAUGGUUUUUGUGCGUCGAUGGUGAGUUUGUCGAUCUGGUUCCAGGGCCGGUGAAGUUUAGCUGUCAAGCUUGAGUCUGAAAUCCUCCUGUUUGUGGCCACUCCGAGGGUGUCUUUCUUGUGUUGUGUUUUAGUCUUCAGUCCUAGGUUGGUCUGGGGUGUUUGGUUUGGAGAUCAAGUUUAGUAAUCACUUUGUGGAUUGCUUGGAUUGCUUCUCUAGGGUCGAAACUGUUUUCAGGUGUGCAGUUGCAGGUUAUAGCUGGCUCUGAUGUGGGUUUUUAAUUCUUCCAUUGAUCCUGGUCAAGCGCCCUUCAGGCGUCCUUUGGUGGUUUUCGAGCUUGUAUCUCAGUUUAUGCUUCGGGGGUUGAAGGAGGUUUAGUGGUGUAAGCAGGCUUGAGUUUGUUUGGGUUGGCGACUUGUUUAGAAGGAGCUUUUGCUGAGGCCUUUGGUUGGAUUUGAUCUGAUGUGGUCUCUGUGAUGUUUGUUCUUUCUGAGGCUUUUAGUUGCUGCUUCGUGUAGUCACUAGUUUGGUCUCGUCGUUCAGUCUCGGUAGUAUUUUUAGGUCUUCAUUUGAUGAAGUGUCGAAGCGGGGAAGCUGUGCAGUUCCUUGGUUUGCAUCCUACGGGUUCUCCGGACUUCUUGGUAAGGGGCUGUGGAGCUUAUGCUCAAUCGCGACGGUCUUGGAGCAGUCAAUCGCCAAUCGUGUAUGUGUCUCAUCGUUGGUUGCUCGGGUUGAUGGCUUGUUCUCUGGUGGCUUCUCUUGCUUGAAGAAGUGGUAAGUGUGUUGUUUGCUUGUGGUUCCUUAGGAACGGUAGUGGAGAUUUCAGCUCAACUCUAAUAAUUAAGACCUGUCGCUUUCCUUCUCAAUCCUGCUUCCGGUUUCGACAAACUUCAUCUUGUUUGAAGUUAUGCUUGUGCUCCAGCAGGCGUUUAGCCUCUUUUUCCUUCUUUUGUCUCUUGAGUUUGUAGAAUAUGUUUUAGUGUAAGCGUUUGGUUCCGGGUGGUAACUUGUACACGCCGGCUUGUGGCUCCAGAAAGGGAUUAUACCUUUGCUGGUUAUGUUGUAAGAACUGUUGAAAAUCUAUCAUUAAUCUACCAGAUGACAAAAAAAAAAAAAAAAGAAUUCAUUCACUUUGAGCGCGUGGAAUGACAUCGGGGCCAAAAUAAUUGCUAGCGGUCGAGACUGCUUGGACCUCCAAUAAUGAGAAUCAAUAAUGAUGCAUUUGUAUGUUUUCUGAAAAUAGACUAUCUACAUUCAUUAGGACUCCACAAACUUUGUUCGUGAACUGAAUUAAAUCAACUACCUUAUUGAUUGGCGCUUAUCUCUCAUUAUCCUGCAACUUCUUUUUCUUCACUCUUCAAUUUAGCGUUUUUCAACGAAACAAACAAACAAAAUUUAUAAAAAAAAUGGAUGAUCACUUCAAAACCAUUGUUAUAGUAGUUAUCACCAGUGUUUUGGUUGGGGCAGUGGUUUUUUUGAUAUGUUGUUCCAAUUGCAUUAAUAAAAAGCAGAAACUUCGAUUGCCGGAGCCGCCACAGGUUCAACGACGGAUGAUAGUCAGUGAUCCUACACGUCAGCCAAGUGGAAUUCAUCUGGAAAAUGGUUCUCCUAAAAACCGCUUGUGAAGCAUGUUGUUCCAGUCGCUCCAUAAUCCGUAGAUGAUAGUUUGGUCAACAAGACGCCUAAAAAUUUGGGAGAGCUUCAGGUUAAGGGAGAUGAUGGCGGUUUCGCUGUUAUGACAGCGGCUUCUACUUCUUUUUUUUUUGAAUUAUACAGAGGUAUCCUGGCCUCGCAUAAGUGAUCCAGACUAGUCAUGUGUUGCCACGUGUCGGUCUUGUGUCCCUGGCGAUGCCGAAAUGUUAAUUCUCCAGUGGCCGGGAUUCGGACCCAGGUGGCGGUACUCACAGCUGUAAGCCCUUUACCACUAGAGCUAGAAGCCCCGGUUAGCGGCUUCUACUUCAGCAACAUUUUGUGAUUUUGGUUGUGGUGGCGACGAUGGUUGCAGUAGUGGUGGCUGUGGGGGCUGAAUAGUUGAUAAAAUUUGUGUAACAUACCGAAUUGUGAUAUAUGGAAAGGCUUAAGAAAAUUGAUUUGACUAUCUAUGUUAUCAAAGUUGACUUAUCUUUUUUGUCAUAUAUCCGUUUAGAACUCUAGAAUUAAGCAUACUUGAACUGGAGUAGUGGAAGGAUGGGUGACCUAUCGGAAAGUGAUUGCGAUACCGUGUGAGUGAGGCCAAAAUACGGAGAAAUGUCAGUUGGUGAUUGCAGGGUUAGUAAACAAGACUCUAGAACCUUAGAAAAAAUUAACGGACCGAACGUCAGAUGGGAUAGGAUCCACGGGCCGAGAGAACGGGUGUGAGUGGCCCAUUAGCUGAGCGUUAUAAUUUGAUUUUUAAAAAAUAUAUAUUGUAUUGAUAUGUUUUCAUAGUUUUCGCCUAGAUUCAGUAUCUUGUUUAACUCUGUGAUUAUCCAGCGGAUUCAGUAACAUUCAUCUUAUGUUAAUUUAUGUUAUUUGCAGUUAAUGUAACGUGGAUCAUCCCUAAACUUUCUGAUGAAAUAAUACUAUAGGUAAAAAUCUUUAAUUAGGCUAGUGGUUAAUGAAGCCAUAGAUAGAAGAAAAGUAAUGGGUUCGAUUUUCUAUAAUUUGCAUUUACCAAGUUAAUUUAAUUGCUAAAAAACUCUAUUCAUAUCUACGGGAUUACAGGUGGAGUUAAUAGUAUAAAAUAGUUUUAUUUUUCUUUCUUUUUUGCUAAAAUUAAUGAAGAUUUAUUAUGCCAGGCUGCCAGCCAGUGAAUUAUAGGAUCAUUUCUGUCGUUACUAGCUAAUGAAUUCACUGUAUGCGUGAUAUAGAUUUCAGAAUGCAGUCUUAAAAGCAUCCAUCAUACAAACCAACCGCAACAAUUUCUGUCGCGUGUUUUCUUAUCUAAACUUUGUUAUUGUGCUUAUUUUAUCUCAGAUUAACAAUUAUUUCAAAUAAACUACUUGGACUAUCAAAUUUAAGCAAAAAUCAGCUUUGACCGAAAUAAUGUUAGUCAACCAUGAACCAUCUAUAAAUAUAUAAAAACAUUCGGAUAAUUCAAAACACGAAAAAAAAUAUCCUAAAAUACGUGACAAAUUUGGAUAGCUCGUAAACAUUAAAAUAUACACAAAACCAAAAUAUACCCAAAAAAUCCGUGAUAAGCUAUAAACAUUCA